CGGUUUGAUAAGCUCCUGGUAAAAUCACGCAGCUUAACUGCGUGUCUGCUAGGGGUACUGUCUUACUAGAGGGCGGGAGAGGUCUGAGGUACGACAGGGGUAAGGGUGAAAUCUUAUAAUCCUUGUCGGACCACCAGUGGCGAAGGCGUCAGACUGGAACGCGCCUGACGGUGAGGGACGAAAGCCAGGGGAGCGAACCGGAUUAGAUACCCGGGUAGUCCUGGCCGUAAACGAUGCAUUCUAGGUUAUGGUGCGGCCAUGAGCCGCAUCGGAGCCGUAGCGAAAGCGUUAAGAGUGCCGCCUGGGAA
rnacentral:rRNA from 1 species